UACGUAGGGCGCAAGCGUUGUCCGGAAUUAUUGGGCGUAAAGAGCUCGUAGGUGGCUUGUCACGUCGGGUGUGAAAGCUUGGGGCUUAACCCCGGGUCUGCAGUCGAUACGGGCAGGCUAGAGUUCGGUAGGGGAGAUCGGAAUUCCUGGUGUAGCGGUGAAAUGCGCAGAUAUCAGGAGGAACACCGGUGGCGAAGGCGGAUCUCUGGGCCGAUACUGACGCUGAGGAGCGAAAGCGUGGGGAGCGAACAGG
rnacentral:rRNA from 1 species